CUGAUAUGUUCAGUGAUUAUGGUCAGUUCUUGAGUGCUCGCCGGACUCAUGAAGAAAAAUCACAAUUAGACCUUUAUUUGGCUUAGCCGGCUGAAAACAUAAUGAAAAAUUGGAUGUUUUGGACUAUUAGAGCAAGACAUCUGCACGCUAUCUGGAGCUUGCCUUGAUGGCUCGUGAUGUUCUUGCUAUUACAGUGUCCACCGUGGCCUCGAAGACAGCAUUUAGCAUAAAUCGCAAAGCCAUAACCUACAACCGGAGUUCACUCAAGUCCAAGACUAUUGAAGUUUGAUGUGCCUGCAAGACCGGUAUAGUGAGAGUAUGCAUGAAGGAUCUGCUUCUACUAGCACACAGGAAGGUGCUGAAAGUACUACUGUAACUGUUGAUGAAGAGUCCUCAGAUUAUGAAUAAUGGAAAGGCUCAACUGCAGAUCUGGAAUAGAAGAUGCUGCCUCAUGUCUUUAUGGCUUGCUGGUUAGUUUGCUACAUGGCAAGUUCGGCUACCUAAAUUAAAUCGUGUUGGUUUUAGGCUUUCGGAUGCCUUUUAUCUUUCUUCCCAAAUGCUAGAUGUGUAGCUGUCUUGUGUGAGACCUCUAUGAGUGGGAGACUUACGAGUUCACCGUUUAGCCUUGUAUCCUUGUGACUUCGUGGAUUAUGCUGUAAACCUGUUAUGCAUCUGUGGAGUCAAGUAGUGUACUUGUGCUA